rnacentral:rRNA from 1 species
AGCGAACGCUGGCGGCAGGCCUAACACAUGCAAGUCGAACGAACCUUUCGGGGUUAGUGGCGGACGGGUGAGUAACACGUGGGAACGUGCCUUUAGGUUCGGAAUAACUCAGGGAAACUUGUGCUAAUACCGAAUGUGCCCUUCGGGGGAAAGAUUAAUCGCCUUUAGAGCGGCCCGCGUCUGAUUAGCUAGUUGGUUGAGGUAAUGGCUCACCAAGGCGACGAUCAGUAGCUGGUCUGAGAGGAUGAUCAGCCACAUUGGGACUGAGACACGGCCCAAACUCCUACGGGAGGCAGCAGUGGGGAAUCUUGCGCAAUGGGCGAAAGCCUGACGGAGCCAUGCCGCGUGAAUGAUGAAGGUCUUAGGAUUGUAAAAUUCUUUCACCGGGGACGAUAAUGACGGUACCCGGAGAAGAAGCCCCGGCUAACUUCGUG